rnacentral:rRNA from 1 species
UACAGAGGGCUCAAGCGUUGUUCGGAAUCACUGGGCGUAAAGGGUGCGUAGGUGGCGUGGUAAGUCAGAUGUGAAAGCCCGGGGCUCAACCUCGGAACUGCAUCCGAUACUACCAUGCUAGAGUACUGAAGAGGUGACUAGAAUUCUCGGUGUAGCAGUGAAAUGCGUAGAUAUCGAGAGGAAUACCAAAGGCGAAGGCAGGUCACUGGGCAGUUACUGACACUGAGGCACGAAGGCUAGGGGAGCAAACGGG